CGACAUUAGGCAGCCAGUAAAAGAUCCGGGGAUGCUGGGGCUCGGAGAAGAGCUAGGGAUGGACGGGUGGAGCACAGAGGACUUUCAAGGCUGUGCAAGAUGCUGUUUGCAGCCAUCAUGGUGGAUACAUGUUAUCGUGCAUCCGUCGAAACGGAAGGCCCGGCACUCGGAGUGAACCUUAAUGCACAUUACGCGCGUUAGCUGAUGGUAAAGUAUCAAUAUCAGCUCAUCACCUGCCACCAACAGUCCAAGAUGCUGCCCGUAGGGAGAGUGAGAACGUGCUCCCCUUUCUGGCGACUUUGGUGGAAAAGCAACAUCAUCUGCUGCGAGUGGAGCACGGGCUGUUUCUGUUUCCCUUCGAGAAGACGCGCCCUGGGAUGGGUGUGAAGCACGGGUGUUUCCCACUGCUGUGUCUGUGCUGUUGUGACCUCGGCCCUGGCGGCAGAGAGACAGACAGAGCAUGAACAGGGGAGAGGCAGAGAGAG